rnacentral:rRNA from 1 species
CCUACGGGAGGCAGCAGUGGGGAAUAUUGGGCAAUGGGCGCAAGCCUGACCCCGCAACGCCGCGUGAAGGAAGAAGGCUUUCGGGUUGUAAACUUCUUUUCUGGGGGACGAACAAAUGACGGUACCCCAUGAAUAAGCCACGGCUAACUACGUGCCCGCAGCCGCGGUAAUACGUAGGUGGCACGCGUUAUCCGGAUUUAUUGGGUGUAAAGGGCGUGUAGGCGGGAAUGCAAGUCAGAUGUGAAAACUCAGGGCUCAACCCUGAGCCUGAAUUUGAAACUGUUUUUCUUGAGUGCUGGAGAGGCAAUCGGAAUUCCGUGUGUAGCGGUGAAAUGCGUAGAUAUACGGAGGAACACCAGUGGCGAAGGCGGAUUGCUGGACAGUAACUGACGCUGAGGCGCGAAAGCGUGGGGAGCAAACAGGAUUAGAUACCCCUGUAGUC